AACAAGUGGGACUGAGGGAAGAGUUGCCUCAGACCACGGCUGAGUAACAGGUGCAGCUCAUUUCUGUGACGAGCAGGUAAUGAGAAUACCAGAGUAUGAUGCCCUUGAGCAAAGUGCAAGACAAGGUAGGUGUAAAACAGGACAGUCAAAUUUUAAUCACUCACAUUUUUAUAUUUAAUUUUGUGUUUAAAAAUAAAGUUUUGUACCUUUUUUGUAAGAGGAGGAUGUGGAGAAUCUUUUUUCAGAUGUCCAGCCAUCACCAUCCUGUCCUCAAACCAGCCCAUAUCUGCAAGUAUCCCUGCUGUGCCUCCAGAGCGCCAAGCUAAUGAGGACAUUGAUAAUGAGUUGUAGCAGGAAUGGGUAAAAAUGUCUGCAGCUCUUGAAAAUGGACUGUCAUUCAUUACACAGGAGGUGAGCUGUGUCCUCUGUGGCACUGGUGCUCAUGCAGGACACACAGGCUAUCAAAAAUGCUCCGGCAAGAGGAAUCAAAGACCGGAUGGUGAAUUUUCUCAAUUCGAGCAGUAGAGGGGAAGGCUGAAGCAAGAGAGCACAACGGGGGAAGACUUGCAACCUGCAGGAGAGGAAAAUCUCAGUUCAAAAUAUAAUGGCUGAAAAAACAG